GUUUCGCAAGGUGAUGGUGUUCCACCUUUCCCAACCGCCCUGUUCGCAAGGGGCUGAUGACGCCUGAUAACAC
rnacentral:ncRNA from 1 species